UCUCCCUCUCUCCCCCUCUCCCUCUCUAUCCUCCUCUCUCUCUCUCUCUCUCUCCUCUCUCUCCCUCCCUGGAAGAAGGGAAUGAGGCAGGGCUGACGUGAAGGGAUGCAAAACAGCUCCUCCUAAGCCAGCUCGCAGAGGAAGAGAGACCGAAAAGCAGCCCUUUUAUCUCUCUUUUGUUUUCUCACUUCCUUCCACCCCCCCACACACACACCCCCCUCCUGUCAGCCCAAGUUUUCUUUUCUCUUUCCACCACAGAGAGGAUUUUUUUUUUCUUUCUCUCUUUCUCUGCCUUUCGGUUCAACUCUCCCACUCAAAUGGAACGCCUGGAGGGGUUUUGCUCUCCUCUUUUUCUUCCCUCUUUUCUUCCUCCUUCCUCCUUUCUUAUUUCUCUAAAAGGGUUUUGUUUGCUGUGGGAGUUUCGUUUGAAAAUCAAGUCACGCCUUUUUUUCCUCCUUUUCUUCCUCUCUCUGUUUUUCUCCUCAGAAAAGGGGAACAAAGAUGAACUGAAGCGGAGGAGAGGGAGAGCGGCAGGGCCUCUCAUGGAAAUGGGGGGGCCCGGCCCGGCACAAAGGGGGCCCGGGGACUCCGCGCCCCCCCCUCCCCCCGGCCCCUAGGGAAGCCUGGGGCGUCCUCGGGAAGGGGACUCCGCGGGGUAGGGGGCGCGGCCGCCGGGUGCCGCCCAGUCGCCCCUCCCGGGCCUGGGGUGGAAGUCUAGGUGUGUUCUUGACUCCUGUAUUUUUAAAGUAGGCAGAUGGGCUCGGAACGGGCGUCCCCGCACCGCACUGAACUGUAAAAAGAGCCUUUAAACAGCUGUGUGCAGAGCCCUGGACAGCCAGGCUCGAGGGAGCGGCGCGGGAUUCGAGCGCGCGCCGGGGCCCAGCGGGGAAGGGGCUGCGGGAGCCGGGGUCGCGCCCCCGCGGGCCCUCCAAUCCCAGGGCCUGGGCCUCGGCCCCAGACGCACUGCUGGGGGCGCCGAGGCGUGGCCGUGCGCCGCGCGGGGGUCUAGCCCUUGCGCCUCCCUGCGGGGGCUUGGCACAGCCUGGCCUCCCCCCCCUACCAGCUCCCGGGCAGGCCGGACCCUCGGCCUCCAACCUUCAGGACCCCCCGCCACUCGGAGGGAGCCGCUUUCUCGACUCCGAAGCUGGGCGGGGCCGGAGUCCUCGGACAGAGCCGGGCCGAGCCGCCACGAAGGGUCAAUUAUUCAUGGGGCGCCCGGGCGUGCUCCCAAGACCUGCUCUGCCCUCAGCGUCUCCGGAGAAGUGGGGGAGAAGACAGGGGAAAAGUUCCCAGAGCAAAGUUGGCCACAUUUCUCUCAUUUUCCCAAUGACUGCAGCCUCCCGGGACGGACCUGCCACUCUUCACCCCUCCCCCCCAGCCGGGAGGCCUGGGCCUUUAGAGACCGGGGGGGCCCCAAGGCCACUGCCCCUCACCCCACCCUAAAGCAGCGCCUGGUGUGAGCAAUGACUCCAGUCACUCAGAACAUGAUUUGUGUCUGACUGGGAGUGAGAAAACAGUAGCCUGAGACUUCGCUUCACAGCGAGGACACCAUGGUUCUCCUAUCAGCACACUGAGCCCUGGAAGAAACCCCCCAAAGUGAGCGUUUACCCACGGCGCCCUCUUCACAGGAUAUGCGGAAGCAACAUUUCUGUCGUUGUAUAUCCUCCUGCUUAGUGCACCUGAGCUGUAGCCUUCAAACAAGGCCAAACGCAGCUCUGGUAGUCAAGCAUUCAUUUAACAAAUGCUUCCUGAGCACCUAUUCUGUGCCUGCUGCUGUGCUGGGUGCUGAGGACCAGAAGCACACACUUAGGCUUUGCAGACCAGCAGGGGAAGCAGCAGAGAAGACAGGCGACCACAGUGCUACGCGAUGCAUGCAAAGGUGGCCUGGAUUGGGAGCACCUAUGCCUGAUCAAGGUGGCCAGGGUGUAGCCUCUCAGGAACAUGACUGGAAUGUGAAGGCUGUGGUUAUGAAGGCCUGGCCUCAUCAGUGCAGCUGUAGCCUGCCUGAAGAACAAACAGGAAUCAGAAGAGCCCUGUAAAAUCCAGAAGGGCCCAUAGGAGCAGAUUGUCUCCUGAGGAGACCCUGUCUGGACAGGUGACUCACUGCCUUCUCUGACACCCUUUUACCUUUCUGAAUGUCCACCUCCUGGGGUUGUUGGGAGGAAUGAAACCAGGCGUUCAUUAAACAUGUUGUCUGAAAAAUAGAAGACCUCAUUGUGAAGCCAUGAUGAUGAGCAAAAUGAGAGGGGGAUUUACAGUCUUCUCCACCAAGGAAGCAAGCCAAAGUUGCAUAUGCUUGCUGUGUGAAAACGUCGAACCACACUAAUGGCUCUACAGCAAACAGUGAAAAUGAACCCCUCCUCCACAUCCAAGACCCUGUUUCCAGGAAAACCAGCUGAGAUAUCCAGCUGACCCUACACCAUUUAUUGAGAAGACCAUCUUUUCUCUACUGGUCUACAACGUCACCUUCAUUAUUAGUCAAGAUUGUCUAACAAGAGUUCUUACUUGUAUGAAGGAACUUUGCACAUGUAACCAGCAUUGAACCAGAGAAAGGCCGAUCCAAACCCUUGUACACGACGACCAUCUCAUAAAAGCAGCUUCAUGUUAGCAACUAAACACAUCUGCCAAGCAAGGACGAGUAGCUGAAAGCCUCUACCAAGUACGCAUUAGACAAUCUUGGAUUAUCCGGUGGGCCCAGUGUCAUCACAGGGGACCUUAAAUGGGGAAGAGGGACGCAGAAGAGGACAGUCAGACGGAGACGUGACUACGGCAGGAAGGCACAAAGAUGCAACGUUGCUGACUUUGAAGAUCAGAUUCAGCCCUAGAGCCCCCAGAAAGGAACCCAGCCGACACCUUGAUUUCAGCCCAAUGUGAUGUCUGGACUGUGGCAGCCAUUGUGUGACCAGGAGGUAGCUAUCCACUAAGGAUGGUUGAAGUGCAAAGGUCCUUUGAAUGCUCCCCCAGAGGCCACACCUGGACUCCAUGAAUGGGUCCACCUGACCCAGAUGUUGGCAGAAAGGAGUCAAACAAGAGGACCACGGCUUGGCAACCAUCCUGGGGUCAGAAGAGACCCCUGAACCCAGGCUUGUACAACACACCCCUAGACCCAUGUGUACUUGGGCAAAGGGAGCUGCGUAGGUGCCCAAGAACCGUGGGGGAGGACAGAAGGGGGCGAUGCUAUUUUCUAGAGCGAGUUUAUUCAUCUUUACAGCUCCUCCGAUACUGACCCAUUUUACAGAGGAGGAAUC